AGUGAACGCUGGCGGUAGGCCUAACACAUGCAAGUCGAACGGCAGCACAGUAAGAGCUUGCUCUUACGGGUGGCGAGUGGCGGACGGGUGAGGAAUACAUCGGAAUCUACUUUUUCGUGGGGGAUAACGUAGGGAAACUUACGCUAAUACCGCAUACGACCUACGGGUGGAAGCAGUGGAUCUUCGGACCUUGCGCGAUUGAAUUAGCCGAUGUCGGAUUAGCUAGUUGGCGGGGUAAACGCCCACCAAGGCGACGAUCCGUAGCUGGUCUGAGAGGAUGAUCAGCCACACUGGAACUGAGACACGGUCCAGACUCCUACGGGAGGCAGCAGUGGGGAAUAUUAGACAAUGGGCGCAAGCCUGAUCCAGCCAUACCGCGUGGGAGAAGAAGGCCUUCGGGUUGUAAAGCCCUUUUGUUGGGAAAGAAAAGCAGCCGGUUGAGACCCCGCUGUUCUGACGGUACCCAAAGAAUAAGCACCGGCUAACUUCGUG
rnacentral:rRNA from 1 species